rnacentral:rRNA from 1 species
CUUCGGGGUACUCGAGCGGCGAACGGGUGAGUAACACGUGAGCAACCUGCCCUAGGCUUUGGGAUAACCCCGGGAAACCGGGGCUAAUACCGAAUAUUACCACCGGGCGCAUGUUUGGUGGUGGAAAGUUUUUCGGCCUGGGAUGGGCUCGCGGCCUAUCAGCUUGUUGGUGGGGUAAUGGCCUACCAAGGCGACGACGGGUAGCCGGCCUGAGAGGGCGACCGGCCACACUGGGACUGAGACACGGCCCAGACUCCUACGGGAGGCAGCAGUGGGGAAUAUUGCACAAUGGGCGGAAGCCUGAUGCAGCGACGCCGCGUGAGGGAUGACGGCCUUCGGGUUGUAAACCUCUUUCAGCAGGGACGAAGCGAAAGUGACGGUACCUGCAGAAGAAGCGCCGGCCAACUACGUGCCAGCAGCCGCGGUAAGACGUAGGGCGCGAGCGUUGUCCGGAUUUAUUGGGCGUAAAGAGCUCGUAGGCGGCUUGUCGCGUCGACUGUGAAAACCCGC